rnacentral:rRNA from 1 species
GAUGAACGCUGGCGGCGUGCCUAAUACAUGCAAGUCGAGCGAACGGACGAGAAGCUUGCUUCUCUGAUGUUAGCGGCGGACGGGUGAGUAACACGUGGAUAACCUACCUAUAAGACUGGGAUAACUUCGGGAAACCGUAGCUAAUACCGGAUAAUAUUUUGAACCGCAUGGUUCAAAAGUGAAAGACGGUCUUGCUGUCACUUAUAGAUGGAUCCGCGCUGCAUUAGCUAGUUGGUAAGGUAACGGCUUACCAAGGCAACGAUGCAUAGCCGACCUGAGAGGGUGAUCGGCCACACUGGAACUGAGACACGGUCCAGACUCCUACGGGAGGCAGCAGUAGGGAAUCUUCCGCAAUGGGCGAAAGCCUGACGGAGCAACGCCGCGUGAGUGAUGAAGGUCUUCGGAUCGUAAAACUCUGUUAUUAGGGAAGAACAUAUGUGUAAGUAACUGUGCACAUCUUGACGGUACCUAAUCAGAAAGCCACGGCUAACUACGCG